rnacentral:rRNA from 1 species
GACGAACGCUGGCGGCGUGCCUAAUACAUGCAAGUAGAACGCUGAAGGAAGGAGCUUGCUCUUUCUGGAUGAGUUGCGAACGGGUGAGUAACGCGUAGGUAACCUGCCUGGUAGCGGGGGAUAACUAUUGGAAACGAUAGCUAAUACCGCAUAAAAUUGAUUAUUGCAUGAUAGUCAAUUAAAAGGUGCAACUGCACCACUACCAGAUGGACCUGCGUUGUAUUAGCUAGUUGGUGGGGUAACGGCUCACCAAGGCGACGAUACAUAGCCGACCUGAGAGGGUGAUCGGCCAAACUGGGACUGAGACACGGCCCAGACUCCUACGGGAGGCAGCAGUAGGGAAUCUUCGGCAAUGGACGGAAGUCUGACCGAGCAACGCCGCGGGAGUGAAGAAGGGUGUCGGAUCGUAAAGCUCUGUUGUAAGAGAAGAACGAGUGUGAGAGUGGAAAGUUCACACUGUGACGGUAUCUUACCAGAAAGGGACGGCUAACUACGUG